rnacentral:rRNA from 1 species
UACGGGGGGGGCUAGCGUUGUUCGGAAUUACUGGGCGUAAAGGGCGCGUAGGCGGUCUGCUAAGUUGGAUGUGAAAACUCUGGGCUUAACCCAGAGCCUGCAUUCAAUACUGACAGGCUAGAGUUCUGGAGGGGAUAGCGGAAUUCCUGGUGUAGCGGUGAAAUGCGUAGAUAUCAGGAGGAACACCGGUGGCGAAGGCGGAUCUCUGGGCCGAUACUGACGCUGAGGAGCGAAAGCGUGGGGAGCGAACAGG